rnacentral:lncRNA from 1 species
AUACCUCUUAGGCCUCCCUCUGCCUCGCCGAACGCCGACCAUCGCCAGCCGCUCACAACUCCUCACCGGGGUAUCAGGACUUCUCCUCCACACAUGCCCGAACCACCUCAGCCUCACUUCUCGUAUCUUCUCAUCCACCGGGGUCACCCCCCAUAUUCUCUCGAAUAACUUUAUUCUUAAUCUUAUUUAACCUGGUGAGCCCGCACAUACACCUGAGCAUC